rnacentral:rRNA from 1 species
UACGUAGGGGGCAAGCGUUGUCCGGAUUUAUUGGGCGUAAAGAGCGUGUAGGCGGCUAGACAGGUCCGCUGUGAAAACUCGAGGCUCAACCUCGAGACGUCGGUGGAAACCGUCUGGCUAGAGUCCGGAAGAGGAGAGUGGAAUUCCCGGUGUAGCGGUGAAAUGCGCAGAUAUCGGGAAGAACACCCGUGGCGAAGGCGGCUCUCUGGGACGGUACUGACACUGAGACGCGAAAGCGUGGGGAGCGAACAGG